UGAUUACUUGGUUUAUCAAGCUUGACCAAUAGGUGACACUGUUAUAAAAUCAAUUUGGUGUACUCUGUGUGACUUUUCAAUGACACACACAAAGUUUGGUGUCAAUAUGCCAAAGCAUUCCAGGGAUACAGCCUCAAGUGUCAUUUUCUCAUUGUGCCUCAAAUUCGUCGAUGUGGUAUGCGAAAACGGUUUUGUCUAUCGACUCAAAAUCCAUAACUUUGAAUCAGUAUAGCCUGAAGAUCAUUUGAUUCGAAUUUGGUGAAAAUCGGACAUACGGUUGAUGAGGAGUUCGAGAAAGUAUGUUUUCAACAUAAAUCAAAAUGGCGGACCGGAAGUUCAGCUUACCGUGGUAUAUUUGGUAUCUAUGUUAUCGGCAUAAGCCAGGGAAUAUUUUGAGCCCAGUUUCAUUCAAAUAGGCUAAUGCAUUAAAAAGUUAUUAGCAUUUUAAAAAGUGUAAUUACUCAUGGUUAAUGAAUGGUUUAUUACUCUUGACCAAUAGGUGGCGCUGUUACCAAAUUUAUGUGGCAUGGUCAGUGUGAGGUGGCGAUGACACAUACAAAGUUUGGUGCAAAUAUGUCAAAGUGUUGCAGAGAUACAGCCUCAAAUGCAUUUUGGCACCCUUCCAGCAAAUUCGUUGAUGCGCUAAAUGAGAACCGUUACGUAUAUCGACACAAAAUCCAUAACUUUUUGCCAGCAUGGUCUGAAGAUGAUUCACGUCAAAUUUGGUGAAAAUUGGGCUAACGGUCUAGGAGGAGUUCGAAAAAGUAGGUUUUCAACAUUAAGCAAAAUGGCGGACAGGAAGUAAGGCCAAUUUUCACAUUAUUGGUAUCAAUACUCUCGGCAUGACCCACAGAAUAUAGCGAGACCAUUUUAAUUUUAAUAGACUAAUUUAUUCAAAAGUUAUUAGCGUUUAUGUGAUAUUUCAUUAUAACUAUUGGCCACAAGGUGGCGCUGCCACCAAACUUUUUGAGUACCUUCAGGGCAUGGAGCCGAAUAUUUUUGUAAUUAUUUGCGAAACGAUACGAUGCUGCGUUCAAAAAAUACAGCAUUUUGAAACAUAAUUCAAAAUGGCCGACGCCUAAAAUGGCCGACACAGGAAAAUUGGAUAUCAUUCGACUCGACAUGACUCACUGAAUCUAAAGAGACCAGUUGUGUGAUUUUUGGCCAAACCAUUCAGUAGUUAUAAGCCAAAAUAUGCAUUUUUCAUAUCUCCUGACCACUAGGUGGCGCUGUGUCGAAACACAGCAGGUAGUCUCAGUUCAUGCUUGUUAUAACACACGCCAAGUUUGGUCUCAAUAUGACAAACCGUUGCCGGGAUAUAGCCUCACGUGCAUGUUUGCGUGCUUUUCGUCAAAUUUGUUUACGUGUCAUUCGACAACAGUUGGACAAAUCAACUUGAAUUCCAUAACUUUUUGCCAGAAUGGUCUGAAGAUGAUCUGAGCCAAUUUUCGUGGCAAUCGGACUAACCGUCUAGGACGAGUUCGAAAAAGUAGGUUUUUCGAAUAAUUGAAAAUAGCGAAAAAACUAAACCUUGCGAUUUUUGAAUUUUGGGGUUCAUUCGACUUGGCAUGAGCCAAGGAUUCAGAGGAAAAAAGAAUUUCCAUUUUCUGGCUUACGGUUCAAAAGUUAUUAGCAUACAAACAUUGAAAGUUUGGACAAGUGGUGGCGCUAGAGAGUAGGAGAUAGAGACUUCAAAUUUGCUAUAGUUAAUGUUGGGACUGUCCUCUAUCAGUGUGCCAAAUUAUACAACUUUCCCGCAAUCGGUUCUAUGGGCUGCCAUAGACUUGCGGCGGAAGAAGAAGAAUAAUAAAUAUAGCUGCAAGCAGCAAUCACGGGGCCAAGCAUUCCAGCGGCAACAUCAGGAGCUAAGCAUAUGUAGCAUCAGACCAAAUGCAACAAUGAAUAAUGAAAUUAAUAAUUGCAUGAUUGUAAUUGAAAUGGCUGAAAAUCGUUAAUAAAAGUUCCACAGCGAGGAGCUAAGCAUGGCAUGGAGCAUCAGACCAAAUGCAACGAGUAAGAAAAGCAAUUAUUGGAAGAGUGUAAUUGAAACAGCCAGUAAAACUCCAGUAAUAUGAUGCAUUAUCAUUUUUGGAAAAUAGGUGGCGCUGUAAUCAAAUCGCUUUGUUGUGUUCUGUGGGAGGUGACAAUGUUGUGGGCAAUUUCUUUCAAAAUACUUACAGACCUUUAGGGCAAUGAGUCGAACAUGCCCACCGAGUUUCGUUCCGAUCGACUUCCAUUAACCUUGUCAAAUAGGUGCUUAAAGUUGUUUGGCCAAUGGCGGCCAUGUUUUUUAAGAUAAGUGAAAUUCCUCAUAGACACUUAUGCCACAUUGGGCCAUACCAAUUUUCAAGUUGAUUGGAUCAGCGGUUGCUUAGUUAUAGCCAUUUUAGUUUUUUUUUCAUCCUGUAGCGCCACCAAGUGGCAGAUAUGGAAAAAAAAAUAAUUUGACUAAAGUUUUUGUUCAUGCAUAUGAGUUCUGAGUUUGGUGAAGAUAUCUCAUUUUGUUCCCGAGUUAUAGCCUUUUUCAUAAAAUUGGUCCACGAAUUUGAAUGUUUUGGGUCACCUGGUUUUUUGUUCAGUCUUGAUCAAACCACUGCAGUAAUAUUCUCAGGACUCUCUAGAUCAAUAACUUUGAAAAAAUAUGUUGUAUUUUGUCCUUUGGUUAGAUAACAUUUAAACAGGCCUAAAAAACAAAAGAUUUCUGUUGUGAAUGGCAUUAAACUGCAAAAAAAGGGGUAAUAUAAUCACACAUGCAUUAGAUCUGUAUUUUUUCUAAACAAUCAUGCAAAAUUUAACAGAGAUUAGGUAAAAAAGAACACUGUAAUAUUUAUAAAGCUUCAAAACCCAGUGUUGAAUAAAAAAUUGCAAUUAUAACCACUAGAUGUCAACGGAAGACCACUAAUGAGCUCACUAAAGACUAAAACAUUACAGUUUAUGGGCUUGUUGAGGGAUUCAUCUAGAAAAAAUGUAUAUUACUAUUAUUUAAUAUUACUGUUCAAGCAUUUCAGAUCACAUUGAGUCAAAGUUUACCAAUUUAUUCAUACAGAUAUAUCUAAUGUUUAUAAUUAUGCCAGAUUAUGAUUGCAAUGAAACCUGAAAAAUGACAUAGAAGCCCAUAAAAACAGAAGACUUGCAAUAGGUUUUAUCACCCAUCAUUUAUUUUAAUUAUCUAUAUAUAUAUAACAAAAUGUGUGCAUCUGUGUGUGGGUUUAAGCAUGCUUAUUGAGUAUUAAUAUACUAGUUUAAACAUUUCAUGUUUGUGUGUGUCUGUAAUUCUGUUCUAUUCUUUUACUGUCAGCCAUAUCUAGGUUAUUUAAAAUCAGUGCAGUACUAUUAUCUAGACUGUGAAAUUAUACAUAAAUUGCGUAUGCUUCUUUGGAAUGAAAUUAAGACAACAUAUAACAGUUAUAAAGGUUAAAGAGACAGUGUUGUAUGAUAAAUUGCAUUUACGACCACUAGAUGUCACUGGAAGACCA